AAUUUGUGUCUUUAUCCUGAUGUGUUUGUUUGAUCUUCAUUAUUAAAGAUGAUACUGAUGAUAACGAGGGAAACGACGACCAACUGACAUCUCUGAAACAUGACUUGGAGAGCAAUCGGGAUGAUAUUUCCUUCGGUGGUCUUUCGGCACCGCCUGAGAUCCUCGCUCGGGGGCCGAGAGCACGACGAGCGUAUGCCGAAGCAGCUCAAGCUGGCACGAAGAAAGUAUUCCGAACGCGCCUGAUGCUUGUGGGACAAGAACGUGUUGGAAAGACAAGUCUAAAGAAAACUCUUACAGGACAAGGAUUUGAUCAAAAUGAGGCAAUAACGGACGGUGUAGAAACAA